UACGUAGGGUGCGAGCGUUAAUCGGAAUACUGGGCGUAAAGCGUGCGCAGGCGGUGAUGUAAGACAGAUGUGAAAUCCCCGGGCUCAACCUGGGACCUGCAUUUGUGACUGCAUCGCUAGAGUACGGCAGAGGGGGAUGGAAUUCCGCGUGUAGCAGUGAAAUGCGUAGAUAUGCGGAGGAACACCGAUGGCGAAGGCAAUCCCCUGGGCCUGUACUGACGCUCAUGCACGAAAGCGUGGGGAGCAAACAGG
rnacentral:rRNA from 1 species